rnacentral:rRNA from 1 species
GUGGGGAAUUUUGGACAAUGGGCGCAAGCCUGAUCCAGCAAUGCCGCGUGCAGGAAGAAGGCCUUCGGGUUGUAAACUGCUUUUGUACGGAACGAAAAGGCUCUGGUUAAUACCUGGGGCUCAUGACGGUACCGUAAGAAUAAGCACCGGCUAACUACGUGCCAGCAGCCGCGGUAAUACGUAGGGUGCGAGCGUUAAUCGGAAUUACUGGGCGUAAAGCGUGCGCAGGCGGUGCUGUAAGACAGGCGUGAAAUCCCCGGGCUCAACCUGGGAAUUGCGCUUGUGACUGCAGCGCUGGAGUGCGGCAGAGGGGGAUGGAAUUCCGCGUGUAGCAGUGAAAUGCGUAGAUAUGCGGAGGAACACCGAUGGCGAAGGCAAUCCCCUGGGCCUGCACUGACGCUCAUGCACGAAAGCGUGGGGAGCAAACAGGAUUAGAUACCCGUGUAGUCC